UUGGUUGGCAUUGAUCACGGGGCAUCUUUCCACGCCCGGGAGCUAUUCCCUGAUCUUAUGGCAGGAAAUCCUCGAGAAGCGACGACGCCGACCCGAUCCUCCCGAGCUUCUGCCUCCGGCGACCGCCCGCGCCUCCGGCCAAGAGCUUCUCCCUCCACCGGCGAUGUCAUCCCUCCCCUCCUGCCAAGAUCCUCUGCCCGGUGAUGGCGACGGCCCAGAGGUCGGUUUCUACUUCCGGCAAGAUCGACUACCCCUCGUGGCUCCCAUCUCCUCAUACGAACAACAACGAGCUAGCGGUCACCUUCCUCGUCCUUCGAGCCAGAUUAGCCCUCUCCUCUUCCUUGUCCACCACUAACAUCUCGUUCUCUCCUCUAUUUGAUGCCUCGGUUAGCACUGAUGAGGUUGCUCCAGAUCCACGGACGUGAGCGUCUGUUCCUCCUUUUCCAGCUAAUCGGAAUCUUGGAACUCUCCCAGCAUUGUCAAAUUAACUGUAAGGAUGGGGUCCAAUGGUCGUACGUUUUGAAGGUGCAUGUGGAGUGAGCAAUGCAGUAGAAGCACCUGAGUGUGGCUCUUUUUAGCUACAGUGAUUUCAACUGGUUCGUGUUCUGUUCUAGUGUUUUUCCUAGUGACCUGAUAGUAGGUAGUUUCUGUACUGGGAUCUGUGUUUCCAAGUUGAACCUUUGCAUCUUAGUCUUUGCAGUAAAUGUGCUACCUUACUGUGGUUGCAUGGGUGGUUUCGGCCAUGGCCGUCUUGUGUGACUCAAUUUUGCUGAUGUAUUAUCGAUUUCAUUUCUAUGAAAUUGGGGGAUUGGUUGCAACUGUGGAGGACGCCAUGAUAUGGAAAUACAUCCUCCCCUGAUAAAUCUAGAAAGCUUCAGUAUACACCAAAAAAGGAGCUACCAGCGGCCCAUUUUUGUCUGAAGACCUCAGUAUUGUAAAGAUUAUUUUAUUUUGUUCCGAGGCAACCUGUUCCUUUUCUUUUGGUGUAGUACAAGAUGAAGCUAAAAGCUUCAGUGUCAUCUUGCUAGAGCUUCAACCUUAUCUUCUUAGCUAUUGAGAGCUUAUGAGUUUUGAGAGCUGCAGUGUUAUCUUUGAAAGUUCCUUCUGUUUAGCUUUAGAGGAAUUCAACUUUAUCUUGUAGAGAGAUAUGACUAGAUAUUUAUUUUCUGAAAGAAUUGUAUGUUGUCACGGGUUUAUGUACUGUGUCCACCCUGAAUUAAAUACUUUGCAAUA